CGUGCUCCGUUCGUUCUUUCGCUCGCGCCGCUGGCUCUCUUGCGCUUGUGUCUGCGAAGGGGAAGGAGGAGACGAUGAGGCCUUGCAGGCGCCGAGGUUUGUUUCAUUUGCCACGUGGGGCCAGACCCGAAGUGGCAGGAGGAGGAUGGAUCCUGACCCGCCUGCUUAGAAGCUAGCUGCCCUAAAGUGAGCUGAAGCUGUCCUCUCACAAGAGGAGCAUUCCUGAUUCCUGUAGCCCUGGCUUCAAAGGUGGUGAGAAGAAGCAACUGUUUGUUUUCUCCUCUGGGUGGCAGCAGGGUCAAGAACAGAGGGCAAUGGAUUUCCAAGAGCCUGGAAAAGCCAAAUGCUUCCCAGCAAAGAGGUUAGUGGCUGAUGACUUGUUACCACACACAGCUCAAAAGCUGCCUCCCCAGCAUUUUCUUCAAGGCCGUCCCAGGUGCCACCACCUAUAUAUAUCUCUUUGCAUAUGGCAUACCUGGUAGUGU